rnacentral:lncRNA from 1 species
AACGUUUUUCUUUGAUUUUAUUUUAGGAUUACAUUGGGCGCUACUUAAGAACAAAAGGAGCUACACCGAGGUGAGAAGCGGUGGUGACGAGGUUAAGUCUGAGUAUGACUUCCUUUAAUCCCCGCCAGUGUCCGGGAGGACAUCUGCCACUAUGAUGUGGCAAUCGAUCCAGAAAAUGGCCCCAUGGGCGGGGCCUCGUUUUUCGGAUCCUCCCAUGACACCUACCGCACUACUCGGAGUCUUCACCCUCUAGGUUGACAUCGAAGACAGUGCUGUCUUCGUCGCUCUCGCUAGAGGUUGUUGCCACUCGAGCUUUCGGCACAACACUCUAGGCGGAUGCCAGUCGCUCUGGAAAACUUCACGAAGACGGAGGGAGAGCUGUCAAACCGUAAGUGGAGGAUAUGCCCGGAGCCGAGCCCCAGGGAACGAGCUAAAGACUUCCACCCCCGCGUCAAGAACAUGGCUUUUUUGGGGUGAGGUUGACCGCCGCCCACACCGGCCCAUUGCAGCAACCGUCCGUCCGAAGCCACAAGAAAUGGGGUUGGCUGCCUUCCAUAGCCCUCGCAUAAGGGUCCGGAAGUUGUAGCAAGCUCCGGUGACUCCGAGGGGGGGUCAAUACAUUAAACUCAUGCACCUCCUCCCCUGCGUGAAUCCCCGCACGCGGCAGCAGGAGAGGAAUUCCACCGCAACCACCGCAAGUCAAUGGGCACGUUGUUCUCCCACGAGAUCUGGAGUCGGCCUCGGUCGCCGUCGUCACGACAAUAGGCAUGGGACUCUGGGAGGUUCCCCUCCUAGCACCCAUGGAGUCUCAAGAUUGUCCGCGACCCCUCAUCGUCCCGGAGGGAGAGUGUCAAAGGAACUGCGGAGGAACAAGAUGGAGGCACUGGACAGUGGAGAGGAGCAAGAGACUGUGAGUGAGUUG